rnacentral:misc_RNA from 1 species
UACGGAUGGGGCUAGUGAUCAUCGGAAUUUCUGGGCGUAAAGCGCACGCAGGCGGUCUGUCAAGUCGGAUGUGAAAUCCCCGGGCUCAACCUGGGAACUGCGUCCGAAACUGGCAGGCUAGAGUCUUGUAGAGGGGGGUAGAAUUCCAGGUGUAGCGGUGAAAUGCGUAGAGAUCUGGAGGAAUACCGGUGGCGAAGGCGGCCCCCUGGACAAAGACUGACGCUCAGGUGCGAAAGCGUGGGGAGCAAACAGG